AUAAGUCUUGGCUCUUCACAGCCUCCCCCCGGAUGACUUCCCGGCCCCUCUGGGGGUCACAGACCCCAGGUUGGGAACCACUGAUUUAGAAAUUAAUCAGAAAGAUCAUCAACUGCUUAUCUGUGACAUGCACUGGAAGAACAUGGAAGACAAAGUAAGUUUAGAUUUAUAAACAGCUUCAUAGCCUGAAGCCACUGGAAGCGGUAUACAAGAAGAUAAAGUGAGAUAAAACACACACACAGAUGCAGACUCUAAAAACAAUAGAACUAUUUCUACAGAUGUACAAUUAAUAUUCCAUAAAAUGACUUGGUCACACUUCAGGGAAAGCCUUCUUUCAGGAGCUGUCUAAACAUCAAGAUGCUAGGUGCCAGUCUAAUUUCAGCUGGUAAUUGAUUCCAGAGGGCUGGAGCUGCAACACUGAAAGCCUGGUAGUUUCCAAUACAAACUAAGUGCAUGUGGGGGCAUGUAAUACUCUCAACAGUGCACCAUCUGUGGAGUGCAGUUGCUGGGUAGGGAUAUAUUAGGUGAGGCUGUCCCUUAGGUGACCUGGAACCAUGUUAU